GCAUUCGUGGUGUAGUGGUCAGCACGCUCGACGCGUAUUCGAGAGGUCCGUGGUUCGAGUCCCGGCGAGGGCA
rnacentral:tRNA from 1 species